rnacentral:lncRNA from 13 species
UACUGACUGAACAACAAAGGGCCUUUCUCUGAGCUCUGUGGCUACUUUGGCUUUACUUAGGCAUUACAGCUAAUUUGGCCCUUUUUCCCAUCGCUGAGAAAUCUGCCCCACACUUACAAGGCUAUUGAUAGAUUUUAUUGAUCCCAAGCCUACUUCCUGUCUCCACCAGCUACUGUUUCUAAUGGUCAGGCUGUGGCUGAUGCAAGUGCACUCUCCCCCAGGUUGAAAUUAAUUGACCUGAUUUAAAAUUCUAACAGGUGGCUUUAAGCUGUUGCCUGAAAGAGGUGGGGGAGUGUCGGAGUGCCUGACCUGCCAGCCAGGUCUGGGGAGUAGGAACUCCCUCUGCCUGGCAUAGGUGGAGUUUGGCUACUCUCAGCCGGGAUACCUCGACACACUGUCUUGUUUAUGGCUCUCUUUUGGAAACCUGCCUGCUGACGGUAAUUUCUGGACAUGCUCUCAGACUACAUUUUAUUGUUACUGUGACAUUCCUGAGGAAUGGCUCAAGGAUUCUUUUUAGGAACUGCAGCUCCCGAUAAUGAAAGCUGUUCUUAGUCAAAAGCUACAGUGUUGAGCAGAAGCUAAAGGUUAGGUCAAACACUGGUGUUAUCUUCCUUUGAUUUUUAUUUGAACACCAGGGACAUCAUUUCGAAGCUUAACUUUCUAAACAUGAAGAAGAACUUCUCCACUGUGUGAGUGACCAUACACUGGAACAGAUUGGCCAGAGAAGUUGUGGAGUCUCUCUCAGUGGAGAUAUUCAGGAAUCAUCUUGACACAAUCCUGUGCUAUGUGCUCUAGGAUGGCCCUGCUUGAGCAGGGAGGUGGGACCAGAUGACCCACUGUGGUCCCUUCCAGCCUGACCCACUCUGAUUUUAUGAUUCUGUGACUAUGGUUUCAUACAUACUGGUCUGAUCUCAUCUCUGAUAAUCUGAUUCAUUUGCCUCAUGUAGCAGUAUCUUGAUGACAAGAUAUUUUGAAAUCUCUGAGUAUCUAUUAUGUAAUAAGCCGCCUUCUUAGUCUUCAGUUUUGCAAAUGUUCAAAGAUUCUUUUUUGCAGAUUUUAUUCAUGUUUGCAGUGUGGUCUUAAAUCUGCAAAUGCAGAAAAUGCAGGAAACCAAAUGCAGAACUUAAUGUGAAGCCCCUACUUUUCAAUCUGAAAAGCUUUUGGCCAUUACUGGUAACUCAUAGUACUCUAACUUUUCAAACCCAGUUUUUAAUUGUUAAAGCAUGAAAAAAUGGUUUCAAACUAAGAACUUGAUAUUGCUGGUAAUCUUAGACCUGAAAGUGAAUCCGGUACUUGGAAGACCUUAGUUGAAGGAAAUAGAGAGGAACAUGGCUUUUUUUCCACAAUACCAUCGUUUUUAUGAUUUAGUCUUCCAGUUUAGAAUGAUAAAUAAAUCUUCUUUCAGCAAGGAAUGAAAAUUUUAUUCUCGCAUGCAGAUAUGUUCUGAAAUGCUUUGCUAGUUAUGGACAGGCCUCAAUAUGUGCUUAAACACUAAGAGAAAAUUCUCAGUAUUUGUGAUAAUAACAGUGCCAGUAAAAAUACAGACACAGGAACACAUGCUGUUUGGCUAGAAGACAAGAAGGAAAUAAUGUUCUGCUAGCAUCCAGAGGGAGAAUAUUUGGGUUUUUUCAAAAGAUAGAAAAACACUGGUUAAAGUCAAAUGAGCUGCUAGAUAGCAAUGACUAGUCCUUUGCAAGCUAGCACUCUUUGCUUUUAAAAAAGCAAAGGAAGAUCUCUAGUUAAUAUACCCUGACUUUAAUAAAUAUCAAGUGUUCUCUUCCUUCAGGGCACAUAUUGACUUGCUAACCUUCUUCUAAUCUGUCUUAAUCAUUGUCAAUAUUUACCUCUUCAUGCAAUAAAUACAGAGAAGUCAACAGAACCCAGCUUCAUCUCUGCUUUUGAACUUGUGCCAUUUCUUUGCCCGUUUCAGUGAAAUUCAUAUAGAGCUUGAG